UACGGGGGGGGUAAGCGUUGUUCGGAAUUACUGGGCGUAAAGGGCUCGUAGGCGGCCAACUAAGUCACACGUGAAAUCCCUCGGCUUAACCGGGGAACUGCGUCUGAUACUGGAUGGCUAGAGUUUGGGAGAGGGAUGCGGAAUUCCAGGUGUAGCGGUGGAAUGCGCAGAUAUCAGGAGGAACACCAAUGGCGAAGGCAGAUCUCUGGGCCGUAACUGACGCUGAGGAGCGAAAGCAUGGGGAGCGAACAGG
rnacentral:rRNA from 1 species